GGGAUGAAGAGUUGAAGAGGGAAGAGAGGGCAUGCGGACGGGUGUUUGCUUGGAUGCAGAGAAAAACCCGCAGAGAAUUUACCCCGGGAGCUGCCGUGGCGCAGGCAGGAGGGGAGCCAGGGCCGCAGUGGAGCGGGGCGAGAGUGGCAUCCCAGUUGGCCACACCAUCCCUUCGGCUUCUUCUUCUGACUGCCCCCCGCCCCCCACCGACUCCAGAGACAGGACAUUGCGAAGAGCUGUUGAAUUGCUCACUGGUCUUAGAGUUUGCUGUUGUGACCGGCCUUUGCUGAGAAGAGUGAAGUGAUGCAGUGACGUCUUUCGGCCUGUCAGUCGAGAGCCAGGGACCAUGAGUGCCAGGAAGGAGAGGAGAGGACAGGUGCAGCGUGGUAUUAACCCAGAGUCCACCUGCUUCCAGCAGCAUCUUCUAGCCGAGGGACCUGGGGACCCUUUUUCACCUUCCUCAAGCCCUGUUUCUCCGGCUAUAAGACAGUACUAAGAUCUGUGUCUGCUCCAGACAAGACACCCAGCACGAUGUUUGGCACAGAGCUGGUGUCUGACAGAAGCGUGUUGUAUCUGAAUCUGAGUCCAUAUGUUCUCUACUCACAAGACUGCUUUUAGCAUCUAUCUAACGACUAGUCCCUGAGGCUAAAAGGAAAUACUUUGAGCUGCACUGAAAGCUGCUAGGAUGGAAAGGACGCAGAGGUCACAGUCCUCAGUAAAGGUCCAACCCAGCAGGCUACUAGGUGCAGCCGUGUCCUCUGGAGCCAGCAACUAGGAGAUGAAUGUGAACAGUAGCGUCGCCACUGACACACAGCUGUGCUGUGGGUGACUGCAGGCUGCACCCAUGAAGCUUGGCGGACACAGUGGGGAGCUCGUCUGGCAGCUGCCCUCAAGCCAGUUGCUGGGUGCACUCAGAAACACUAGCUAACAAUCCUUGGCAGAUGAGCAAAGACAUGAAAAAGCAAGGCAAAUGGCCAGUGGGCCGGGCCCUGUCCAGUUGCAGCCUAGGCUCACCUCGAGGCCAGGCUGGGAACCAGGUGCGGCCCUGCCUGGGCUCUGCCCCUCUUUGGAGAGUGGGAGUUUCCAGCUGUUUCUGCCCUUUGGGGGCUCCUAGCAGUGUGUCCUGAGGGACUGAGCAGCUUAGAGUCAGUCUCCAAAGAGGCUUUCACAUCAGACACCUCUGAUUUGGGGAGGAAUUAAGAAUGAAGAUCAAUGGCAGGUAAUGCUUACCGGACUAAAACACACAGGAAUUGAUCAUAAACCUCAAACGAAGAUGUUAAUUCUUAUUGCAAGGAAAAAUACCUGAGUUUUAAGCAAUGCUUUGCCUGGGAAGAUGUCCAAAGACCUGAGGCAAGCCCUGUGUUCCCAAGGAGCCGCUGAUCCCUGAGAACGAACAAAGAAUACACACGAGACGUGGGAAUUAAAAUCAGACGUUCUUUUCCCCUGACCGUCUUACCUUUAAUAGUUAUUUAGAAGAAAUCUGCAUUUUCCCUUGGAAUGCGCUGCGUCUUUGCUGGCCGGCUCUGUGUACCGGUCUGCCCGCCUGUUUCCACUGGCUUGUCAUGCUCACUAAUUAGAGAGCUGCCGCCUGAUUCACCUUGUUAAUUAGAGGGACUUGCACACGGAGCCCUUCGGGCGGUGCGCGAGAGAGCCUCGCACCAGCGUCCCGAGAACGAGGCGUCUGUGAAGUCAUUCUUCUCAUCUACCUUCUAUUUUUCAUUUGAAAUGAAUAAAUCAUUGAGAUUUUCCUUGUGGAGUGAGAAG
rnacentral:lncRNA from 1 species